UCGGAUUGUAGUCUGCAACCCGACUCCGUGAAGCUGGAUUCGCUAGUAAUCGCGCAUCAGCCAUGGCGCGGUGAAUACGUUCCCGGGCCUUGUACACACCGCCCGUCAAGCCAUGGAAGCCGGGGGCGCUUGAAGUGCGUUGCCGCAAGGCGCGCCCUAGAGCGAAACCGGUGACUGGGGCUAAGUCGUAACAAGGUAUC
rnacentral:rRNA from 1 species